rnacentral:rRNA from 1 species
UACAGAGGGUGCGAGCGUUGUUCGGAAUUACUGGGCGUAAAGCGCGCGCAGGCGGCCUUUUAAGUCUGCUGGUGAAAUGCCGGGGCUCAACCCCGUGCCCGCCACAGAUACUGGGAGGCUGGAGACGAGUAGAGGCAAGCGGAAUUCCGGGUGUAGCGGUGGAAUGCGUAGAGAUCCGGAAGAGCACCGGAGGCGAAGGCGGCUUGCUGGGCUCGGUCUGACGCUGAGGCGCGAAAGCGUGGGGAGCAAACAGG